CAGUCGCCGCGGGAAAACGUAGGGGGCAAGCGUUAUCCGGAUUUACUGGGUGUAAAGGGAGCGCAGACGGCCAAGCAAGUCUGAAGUGAAAUGCAUGGGCUCAACCCAUGAAUUGCUUUGGAAACUGUUAGGCUUGAGUGUCGGAGGGGUAAGCGGAAUUCCUAGUGUAGCGGUGAAAUGCGUAGAUAUUAGGAGGAACACCGGAGGCGAAGGCGGCUUACUGGACGACAACUGACACUGAGGCACGAAAGCGUGGGGAGCAAACAGGAUUAGAUACCCCAGUAGUCCCUGUCUCUUAUAC
rnacentral:rRNA from 1 species